rnacentral:rRNA from 1 species
UACAGAGGGUGCGAGCGUUGUUCGGAAUUACUGGGUGUAAAGGGUUCGUAGGCGGUGUGGCAAGUUGGGUGUGAAAUCUCUGGGCUCAACCCAGAGACUGCUUCCAAAACUGCUGUGCUUGAGUGUGAGAGAGGCUCGUGGAAUUGCAGGUGUAGCGGUGAAAUGCGUAGAUAUCUGCAGGAACACCCGUGGCGAAAGCGGCGAGCUGGAUCACUACUGACGCUGAGGAACGAAAGCUAGGGGAGCAAACAGG